rnacentral:rRNA from 1 species
ACGUACACUCCUACGGGAGGCAGCAGUGGGGAAUAUUGCACAAUGGGCGCAAGCCUGAUGCAGCCAUGCCGCGUGUAUGAAGAAGGCCUUCGGGUUGUAAAGUACUUUCAGCGGGGAGGAAGGCAAUACGGUUAAUAACCGUGUUGAUUGACGUUACCCGCAGAAGAAGCACCGGCUAACUCCGUGCCAGCAGCCGCGGUAAUACGGAGGGUGCAAGCGUUAAUCGGAAUUACUGGGCGUAAAGCGCACGCAGGCGGUCUGUCAAGUCGGAUGUGAAAUCCCCGGGCUCAACCUGGGAACUGCAUGCGAAACUGGCAGGCUUGAGGCUUGUAGAGGGGGGUAGAAUUCCAGGUGUAGCGGUGAAAUGCGUAGAGAUCUGGAGGAAUACCGGUGGCGAAGGCGGCCCCCUGGACAAAGACUGACGCUCAGGUGCGAAAGCGUGGGGAGCAAACAGGAUUAGAAACCCGGGUAGUCCCAUG